GUACUUCAGCAAGAGCACUGGCCCCUGCACGCUGAAGAGAUGACCCCCACCCUACCCCACAGGCCAGAGUGAACUGAUCCUACAGGCAUACAUGUAGGGGAGCUGACUCAACCCCUUCGACUGAGCUAGGACCUGCUGGAGCCCGUGAAGAGACUGGUCCUGUGGAACAAUACCCGCAAGAUCUCUAAGACUCGUGGCAGCCACAGGAUAUCCCAGGGGAGCUCCAGUGAGGAUCCAGGGAUGAUGGUGUGCCAGACACCAGAGGCCUUGAACCAGACCACUGACUCAUUGCAAUAAACAUUCGCUAGUAAAGCUGAUGGGACAGAGAGGUA